rnacentral:rRNA from 1 species
GUAGGUGGCAAGCGUUGUCCGGGAAUUAUUGGGGCGUAAAGCGCGCGCAGGCGGUUCUUUAAGUCUGAUGUGAAAGCCCACGGGCUCAACCGUGGAGGGUCAUUGGAAACUGGAGGACUUGAGUACAGAAGAGGAAAGCGGAAUUCCACGUGUAGCGGUGAAUGCGUAGAGAUGUGGAGGAACACCAGUGGCGAAGGCGGCUUUCUGGUCUGUAACUGACGCUGAGGCGCGAAAGCGUGGGGAGCAAACAGGAUUAGAUACCCUGGUAGUCCACGCCGUAAACGAUGAGUGCUAAGUGUUAGGGGGUUUCCGCCCCUUAGUGCUGCAGCUAACGCAUUAAGCACUCCGCCUGGGGAGUACGGCCGCAAAGGCUG